AUACGGAGGGAGCAAGCGUUAUUCGGAAUCACUGGGCGUAAAGGACGCGUAGGCGGGUUUGUAAGUCAGGUGUGAAAUCCUACAGCUCAACUGUAGAACUGCACUUGAAACUACAGACCUAGAGUAUGGAAGGGGCAGAUGGAAUUAGUGGUGUAGGGGUAAAAUCCGUAGAUAUCACUAGGAAUACCGAAAGCGAAGGCGAUCUGCUGGGAUAUUACUGACGCUGAGGCGUGAAAGCGUGGGGAGCAAACAGGAUUAGAAACCCUAGUAGUCC
rnacentral:rRNA from 1 species